rnacentral:snRNA from 1 species
UUGCUUCAGGAGCACAUAUACUAAUAUUGGAAUGAUACAGAGAAGACUAGCAUGGCCCCUGCUCAAGGAUGAUAUGCAAAUUCAUGAAACGUUUCAUAUUUUU